rnacentral:rRNA from 1 species
CCUACGGGGUGCUGCAGUGGGGAAUAUUGGACAAUGGGCGAAAGCCUGAUCCAGCCAUGCCGCGUGUGUGAAGAAGGCCUUCGGGUUGUAAAGCACUUUCAGUGGGGAAGAAAGCCUUGGGGCUAAUACCCUCGAGGAAGGACAUCACCCACAGAAGAAGCACCGGCUAACUCCGUGCCAGCAGCCGCGGUAAUACGGAGGGUGCGAGCGUUAAUCGGAAUUACUGGGCGUAAAGCGCGCGUAGGCGGUCUGAUAAGCCGGUUGUGAAAGCCCCGGGCUCAACCUGGGAACGGCAUCCGGAACUGUCAGGCUAGAGUGCAGGAGAGGAAGGUAGAAUUCCCGGUGUAGCGGUGAAAUGCGUAGAGAUCGGGAGGAAUACCAGUGGCGAAGGCGGCCUUCUGGACUGACACUGACGCUGAGGUGCGAAAGCGUGGGUAGCAAACAGGAUUAGAUACCCCUUAGUC